rnacentral:rRNA from 1 species
AGUGGUACGCGAGCUGGGUUCAGAACGUCGUGAGACAGUUCGGUCCCUAUCCGUCGCAGGCGUAGGAAAUUUGAGAAGACCUGUCCUUAGUACGAGAGGACCGGGCUGGACGUACCUCUGGUGUACCAGUUGUCCUGCCAAGGGCAUGGCUGGGUAGCUAUGUACGGAAUGGAUAAGCGCUGAAAGCAUCUAAGCGCGAAGCCAACUUCAAGAUAAGAUUUCCCACCGCAAGGGUAAGACCCCAGAAAGACUAUCUGGUUGAUAGGUCGAAGGUGUAAGUGCAGCAAUGUAUUUAGCUUAUCGAUACUAAUAGGUCGAGGACUUGACCAA